CGUAGCUAAAACUGAUCAAUGUUCUUGUACCCUGCUUUAUUUGCAUCAUUCCCUUCCUCUUCAAGAUGAUUUGUCCACAAAUCUCCAACAUCUACAUCAAAAAGAGAAAGAUCAGCCACAUUAAAAGUAGUAUUCACAUUAUACUCACUAGGAAGAUCCAACUUGUAGGCAUUGUCAUUAAUCUUCUCAAGAACUUGAAAGGAUCCAUCACCUCUAGGAUACAAUUUUGAUUUUCGUUAAGUAGGAAACCUUUUCUUGCACAUGUGUAACAUACCCAAUCACCAAGUUCGAAUAUUAUUUGCCUCCUUCCUUUGUUUAUUUGGCUUGUAAUUUGUUGGUUCCUCUUUUCUAUGUUCUUGCGCACAUC
rnacentral:lncRNA from 1 species